UACGUAGGGUGCAAGCGUUAAUCGGAAUUACUGGGCGUAAAGCGUGCGCAGGCGGCUUUGCAAGACAGAUGUGAAAUCCCCGGGCUUAACCUGGGAACUGCAUUUGUGACUGCAUGGCUGGAGUGCGGCAGAGGGGGAUGGAAUUCCGCGUGUAGCAGUGAAAUGCGUAGAUAUGCGGAGGAACACCAAUGGCGAAGGCAGCCUUCUGGGCCAACACUGACGCUCAUGCACGAAAGCGUGGGGGGCAAACAGG
rnacentral:rRNA from 1 species